UGAUUAGAAGCUUGCUUCUAUGACGUUAGCGGCGGACGGGUGAGUAACACGUGGGCAACCUGCCUGUAAGACUGGGAUAACUCCGGGAAACCGGAGCUAAUACCGGAUAACAUUUUCUCUUGCAUAAGAGAAAAUUGAAAGAUGGUUUCGGCUAUCACUUACAGAUGGGCCCGCGGUGCAUUAGCUAGUUGGUGAGGUAACGGCUCACCAAGGCAACGAUGCAUAGCCGACCUGAGAGGGUGAUCGGCCACACUGGGACUGAGACACGGCCCAGACUCCUACGGGAGGCAGCAGUAGGGAAUCUUCCGCAAUGGACGAAAGUCUGACGGAGCAACGCCGCGUGAGUGAUGAAGGCUUUCGGGUCGUAAAACUCUGUUGUUAGGGAAGAACAAGUACAAGAGUAACUGCUUGUACCUUGACGGUACCUAACCAGAAAGCCACGGCUAACUACGUGCCAGCAGCCGCGGUAAUACGUAGGUGGCAAGCGUUAUCCGGAAUUAUUGGGCGUAAAGCGCGCGCAGGCGGUUUCUUAAGUCUGAUGUGAAAGCCCACGGCUCAACCGUGGAGGGUCAUUGGAAACUGGGGAACUUGAGUGCAGAAGAGAAAAGCGGAAUUCCACGUGUAGCGGUGAAAUGCGUAGAGAUGUGGAGGAACACCAGUGGCGAAGGCGGCUUUUUGGUCUGUAACUGACGCUGAGGCGCGAAAGCGUG
rnacentral:rRNA from 2 species